rnacentral:rRNA from 1 species
UGUCCUACGGGACGCAGCAGUGGGGAAUAUUGCACAAUGGGGGAAACCCUGAUGCAGCGACGCCGCGUGAGCGAUGAAGUAUUUCGGUAUGUAAAGCUCUAUCAGCAGGGAAGAAAAUGACGGUACCUGACUAAGAAGCCCCGGCUAACUACGUGCCAGCAGCCGCGGUAAUACGUAGGGGGCAAGCGUUAUCCGGAUUUACUGGGUGUAAAGGGAGCGUAGACGGCUGUGCAAGCCAGAUGUGAAAGCCCGGGGCUCAACCCCGGGACUGCAUUUGGAACUGUGUGGCUGGAGUGUCGGAGAGG